rnacentral:lncRNA from 1 species
GACUCUGCCUGAGAUAGUUUGAGAAAUUUUAUACAUUCCUCCAAAGAAAAAAAAUACAGAAAAGCUAUUUCAAAACCAAAAUCUCCUUAUUUUCCUGGAAUAGAAUGAGAGGAAGAAAUUAAAAUUGAGAGAGGUUAACAAUUGUGCCCAAGGCUACAUAGCUACUAAGCAAACCAGAUCUAUGCUCAAAGCCCAUGCAGGACUGUAACCACGGUGCAAGACCAAUCCUCCUGCUUGGAGAACUCAUCCAACUCCACAUCUAUAUCUUCAGGUUGGACUCUCUUCUUCAACCCAUGUACAUGUCCAGCAUUCCCUCAUCAUUGACAAAUACUUUCCUUUGACUUUACUGAUUCUCUGACUACCACUUUUUCAAUGAAGGUAUUUUUUCAGUCAACCAUUUUAACAAAUUCAUCUUUGCUUGGUCUCCACUUCCUCUCCUUGAAGUUGCUCUUCACAUCACUAUAAACCAGCUUUUGAUCUCAUUGCUUCUUAGAGAGUUAGCAAAAAAUGGCUAGAAUAAUAGUU